UCGUCUCGGAGACACACCGUGAGCGGUGCUA
rnacentral:sRNA from 1 species